rnacentral:rRNA from 1 species
GAUGAACGCUGGCGGCGUGCCUAAUACAUGCAAGUCGAGCGAACGGACGAGAAGCUUGCUUCUCUGAUGUUAGCGGCGGACGGGUGAGUAACACGUGGAUAACCUACCUAUAAGACUGGGAUAACUUCGGGAAACCGUAGCUAAUACCGGAUAAUAUUUUGAACCGCAUGGUUCAAAAGUGAAAGACGGUCUUGCUGUCACUUAUAGAUGGAUCCGCGCUGCAUUAGCUAGUUGGUAAGGUAACGGCUUACCAAGGCAACGAUGCAUAGCCGACCUGAGAGGGGGAACGGCCAAAACGGAAACGAGAACCGGUGCCGGCUUCUAACGGGAGGCGGCGUAGGGAAAUUUGCGGAAAGGGCCGAAGGCUGGAGGAGGCAACUCGCGGGAGUGGAGAAAGUUUUUGGGACGUUAAACCUCUUUUAUUGGGAAAAAAAAUAGGGGAAAGUAACAGUGCAGAUCUGACGGGUACCAAAGCGAAAGGCCAGGGUAAAUUAGGG